rnacentral:rRNA from 1 species
AGUCGAACGGGAUCCCGGGGGUUCGCUCCCGGGUGAGAGUGGCGAACGGGUGAGUAAUGCGUGACCGACCUGCCCCAUACACCGGAAUAGCUCCUGGAAACGGGUGGUAAUGCCGGAUGCUCCGGUUGGAUGCAUGUCCUUCCGGGAAAGAUUCCAUCGGUAUGGGAUGGGGUCGCGUCCUAUCAGCUUGAUGGCGGGGUAACGGCCCACCAUGGCUUCGACGGGUAGCCGGCCUGAGAGGGCGACCGGCCACAUUGGGACUGAGAUACGGCCCAGACUCCUACGGGAGGCAGCAGUGGGGAAUAUUGCACAAUGGGCGCAAGCCUGAUGCAGCGACGCCGCGUGCGGGAUGGAGGCCUUCGGGUUGUAAACCGCUUUUGAUCGGGAGCAAGCCCUUCGGGGUGAGUGUACCUUUCGAAUAAGCACCGGCUAACUACGUGCCAGCAGCCGCGGUAAUACGUAGGGUGCAAGCGUUAUCCGGAAUUAUUGGGCGUAAAGGGCUCGUAGGCGGUUCGUCGCGUCCGGUGUGAAAGCCCAUCGCUUAACGGUGGGUCUGCGCCGGGUACGGGCGGGCUGGAGUGCGGUAGGGGAGACUGGAAUUCCCGGUGUAACGGUGGAAUGUGUAGAUAUCGGGAAGAACACCAAUGGCGAAGGCAGGUCUCUGGGCCGUCACUGACGCUGAGGAGCGAAAGCGUGGGGAGCGAACAGGAUUAGAUACCCUGGUAGUCCACGCCGUAAACGGUGGAUGCUGGAUGUGGGGCCCGUUCCACGGGUUCCGUGUCGGAGCUAACGCGUUAAGCAUCCCGCCUGGGGAGUACGGCCGCAAGGCUAAAACUCAAAGAAAUUGACGGGGGCCCGCACAAGCGGCGGAGCAUGCGGAUUAAUUCGAUGCAACGCGAAGAACCUUACCUGGGCUUGACAUGUUCCCGACAGCCGUAGAGAUAUGGCCUCCCUUCGGGGCGGGUUCACAGGUGGUGCAUGGUCGUCGUCAGCUCGUGUCGUGAGAUGUUGGGUUAAGUCCCGCAACGAGCGCAACCCUCGCCCUGUGUUGCCAGCACGUCAUGGUGGG